AGCGAACGCUGGCGGCAGGCCUAACACAUGCAAGUCGAACGAACUCUUCGGAGUUAGUGGCGGACGGGUGAGUAACACGUGGGAACGUGCCUUUAGGUUCGGAAUAACUCAGGGAAACUUGUGCUAAUACCGAAUGUGCCCUUCGGGGGAAAGAUUUAUCGCCUUUAGAGCGGCCCGCGUCUGAUUAGCUAGUUGGGGGGGUAAUGGCCCACCAAGACUACGAUCAGUAGCUGGUCUGAGAGGAUGACCAGCCACAUUGGGACUGAGACACGGCCCAAACUCCUACGGGAGGCAGCAGUGGGGAAUCUUGCGCAAUGGGCGAAAGCCUGACGCAGCCAUGCCGCGUGUAUGAUGAAGGUCUUAGGAUUGUAAAAUACUUUCACCGGUGAAGAUAAUGACUGUAGCCGGAGAAGAAGCCCCGGCUAACUUCGUGCCAGCAGCCGCCGUAAUAC
rnacentral:rRNA from 1 species